AUUGAACGCUGGCGGCAUGCCUUACACAUGCAAGUCGAACGGCAGCACGGGAGCAAUCCUGGUGGCGAGUGGCGAACGGGUGAGUAAUGCAUCGGAACGUGCCCGAUCGUGGGGGAUAACACUUCGAAAGAAGUGCUAAUACCGCAUACGAUCUAAGGAUGAAAGCGGGGGAUCGCAAGACCUCGCGCGAUUGGAGCGGCCGAUGGCAGAUUAGGUAGUUGGUGGGGUAAAGGCUCACCAAGCCGACGAUCUGUAGCUGGUCUGAGAGGACGACCAGCCACACUGGGACUGAGACACGGCCCAGACUCCUACGGGAGGCAGCAGUGGGGAAUUUUGGACAAUGGGCGCAAGCCUGAUCCAGCCAUUCCGCGUGCAGGAUGAAGGCCCUCGGGUUGUAAACUGCUUUUGUACGGAACGAAAAGGCUCUGGUCAAUACCUGGGGCUCAUGACGGUACCGUAAGAAUAAGCACCGGCUAACUACGUGCCAGCCGCCGCAGUAA
rnacentral:rRNA from 1 species